AAUUGCAUAAAUAAAAUUCCAAUGUUUGUAAACAAGAUCUGAUUGGUUGCAGGAGUGUUCCACCUACAGACAGAAAUCAUCAUCUGUGAUCCAGUGACCAUGAACAGAGAAACCAGGCAUUGCAGAAUCUUACCAGGAUUAUUGGUAAACAGACCAAAUCAUGUGCAUACCACAGACGAUGUAAACGUCAACUUCGUUGCAGAUGAACUUGGGGAUUGCCUCGUGUGUCUCUUCGUUUCCUACCACGAUUACAUCAGUGGCUUCAUCAUUUAUUUUGAGA